CUCAUGAAGAAGUCUUGAUGGAGCGCGCCGCGUGAGUGAAUAAAGUUUUCCGAUCGUAAAGCUCUGUUGUUGGUGAAGAAGGAUAGAGGUAGUAACUGGCCUUUAUUUGACGGUAAUCAACCAGAAAGUCACGGCUAACUACCUGCCACCAGCCGCGGUAAUACGUAAGUGGCAAGCGUUGUCCGGAUUUAUUGGGCGUAAAGCGAGCGCACGCCGAAGAAUAAGUCUGAUGUGAAAGCCCUCGGCUUAACCGAGGAACUGCAUCGGAAACUGUUUUUCUUGAGUGCAGAACAGGAGAGUGGAACUCCAUGUGUAGCGGUGGAAUGCUUAGAUAUAUGGAAGAACACCAAUGGCGAACGCUGCUCUCUGGUCUGCAACUGACGCUGAAGCUCGAAAGCGUGGGUAGCAAACAAGAUUAAAUACCCCCAUAGUCCAA
rnacentral:rRNA from 1 species